rnacentral:rRNA from 1 species
CACGUAGGCGGCCUAACAAGUUAAGGGUGAAAUCCCGGGGCUUAACUCCGGAACUGCUCUUAAAACUGUUAGGCUAGAGAUAGUCAGAGGCGAGUGGAAUUCCUGGUGUAGAGGUGAAAUUCGUAGAUAUCAGGAGGAACACCGGUGGCGAAGGCGGCUCGCUGGGGCUAUUCUGACGCUGAGGUGCGAAAGCGUGGGGAGCGAACG